CUGUGAAGGAGCUCGUGUGGACGCGCUCGACCGAGCAGGCAGGACCCCGCUGCAUCUCGCUCGUUCCAAGCUCAACAUUCUGCAGGAGGGAGAUUCUCGCAGCUUAGAAACCCUGAGAGGGGAAGUCACACAGAUAAUACAAAUGUUGAGGGAAUACCUGAACUUAAUGGGCCAGAGUGAAGCUAAAGAGAGGCUGGAACACAUUUCCACGCGGCUGCAGCACACGCGCACCAAAGAGCAGGUGGAUGAGGUGACGGAUUUAUUGGCCAGUUUUACAUCACUCAGUCUACAGAAACAGAAUUUGGGGGAUAGGUAGAAGACUAAGUUUAUAGAGAGCUGAGGUCCUGCUCUGCUUCACUAACCUUCAUCAGACAAGAACACCUGGACCACGAUACUGUAGUUUUCUGUGCAUGUUCCACAUUAAAUAUUAACCUACAGUACUAGUGUACUGGACAGUUACAUUUAAACAUCUGGUCAUUUCAUUUAUUCGUGAACGUAGUGUAUAACAGCAAUACUGACAAAAGUAGUGUUACCCUGGUUAAAUUGAAAAGAUGCUCAGAUCUCAAUAGCGUGUACAACACUGCAGUGGAGUUGACAACCAUUCUGCAUAUGGACGUUACUCACAUUAGCUUUUCAGAUAAAAGAUAAAAGAAGGCCCUAAAGGCAAAAUACUUUCAGAACAGGAAGCUAUUGGAGACAGAACCUCACCCAGUGCAGCGGGACCUCGGCUCUCUAUUGUGUGUGUGUGUGUGUGUGAGAGUUAGUCUCUCACAGUGAUGUGUGUGUUCUGACAUGCUCUCAUGUUGCCUGCCAUUAUUAGUCACAGCUCUGUGAUCACUGUGUAGUUCUUAAGAAAUGAGUUAACAGUUUCCCCCCCCCGUGGUGACUUACUCUGGAUUUGUGUUCAGCACCACGUUUGCAUCACGAUGCCUUUUUCUCUUGUGUUGCAUGUCGAUAUGUUUGUACGUGAACUGUGACGUGUAAAAAUUGGUUCGGUUGUUUGGAUAUUUGUGAAUCAAUAAAUCAGUAUGUUUGUCUACAA